rnacentral:rRNA from 1 species
GAAGCAACGCGAAGAACCUUACCAGGUCUUGACAUCCCUUUGCCCUCCCUAGAGAUAGGGAUUUCCCUUCGGGGACAAAAGUGACAGGUGGUGCAUGGUUGUCGUCAGCUCGUGUCGUGAGAUGUUGGGUUAAGUCCCGCAACGAGCGCAACCCUUGUUCUUAGUUGCCAGCAUUCAGUUGGGCACUCUAAGGAGACUGCCGGUGACAAACCGGAGGAAGGUGGGGAUGACGUCAAAUCAUCAUGCCCCUUAUGACCUGGGCUACACACGUGCUACAAUGGAUGGUACAAAGAGUCGCAAACCCGCGAGGGCUAGCUAAUCUCAUAAAGCCAUUCUCAGUUCGGAUUGUAGGCUGCAACUCGCCUACAUGAAGCCGGAAUCGCUAGUAAUCGCGGAUCAGCAUGCCGCGGUGAAUACGUUCCCGGGCCUUGUACACACCGCCCGUCACACCACGAGAGUUUGUAACACCCGAAGUCGGUGAGGUAACCUUUUGGAGCCAGCCGCCUAAGGUGGGAU